AAAAACAUUGCCUUUAGUUAAAAUAUGAAAGGUAAAUCUGCCCAGUGAUAACAGCAAUAGCUAAAUCUUUCAACGGCCGCGGUAUUCCUGACCGUGCUAAGGUAGCGCAAUCAUGUGCCUCUUAAUUAGAGGAUAGAAUGAAUGAAUCAACAAGAAAUAUACUGUCUCUUUUAUGCUUUUUGAAAUUUCGUUUUAGGUGCAAACUCCUAAAUUACUAACACAGACAGAAAGACCCUAUAAGCUUUUAUCAUAAUAUUUUAUAAAUAGAAAGAUAUUUAAUUGGGGCGAUUUUAAGUAAAAAACACUUAUUAUAAUUAGAAAAAUAUUUCACGCAAUCUAUCUAAUAGCACAUAAGUAAGUUACUAUAGGGAUAACAGGCUAAUACUUCUUGAGAGCACAAAUCAACAGAAGUGCUUAGCACCUCGAUGUUGGCUUAAGAAUCCCAAUCUAUGCAGAAGUAGAUAAGGGGGGUUUGUUCAACCUUUAAUUUCUUACAUGAUCU
rnacentral:rRNA from 1 species